CCUACGGGUGGCUGCAGUGAGGAAUAUUGGUCAAUGGACGCAAGUCUGAACCAGCCAUGCCGCGUGCAGGAAGACGGCUCUAUGAGUUGUAAACUGCUUUUGUACGAGGGCAAACGCAGAUACGUGUAUCCGUCUGAAAGUAUCGGACGAACAAGGAUCGGCUAACUCCGUGCCAGCAGCCGAGGUAAGACGGAGGAUUCAAGCGUUAUCCGGAUGUAUUGGGUUUAAAGGGUGCGUAGGCGGUCGGAUAAGUUAGAGGUGAAAUCCCGAGGCUCAACUUCGGGAUUGCCUCUGAUACUGGUCGGCUAGAGAGUAGUAGCGGUAGGCGGAAUGUAUGGUGUAGCGGUGAAAUGCUUAGAGAUCGUACAGAACACCGAUUGCGAAGGCAGCUUACCGAGCUACUUCUGACGUUGAGGCACGAAGGCGUGGGGAGCGAACAGGAUUAGAUACCCUUGUAGUC
rnacentral:rRNA from 1 species